AAUAUAUGUCAGUGGGUUUUAGACUUUUCACUGAAGAGUAGAAUUAUUUAAACUUUUAUUUAAGCUAAAAAUUAACAAAACCAUAGGAACAUAGUAAUUUCCAUGAAAUGCAGUUUUCCCCCAUGACUUACUGUAAAAGCCUUAAAUCUUUUUGAAUCAUCCCAGUUUACAGGAAAGAUUAAUACAUAAUCAUUGGCUCAGUGGUUCUCCCUUAACAUCUCUGUAAUAAUCUUGACCUUCAGCUUCCCUAAUGUGUUUACGCAGAGGUUUUGUUUUGUGUUAGUGUCUCUCAUAUUUUGAUCUCAGUUCCUCCAGUGAUCGUAGUAUAAAAACCCUGAGAUGAUCUGAGAGACACUCAACAUUGACUUAAAGGAGCUCAGCUUCAACAGCUCCUGUGCCCUCAGGUCUUUGAAAACAACUUUGCAGACUCUUUCAGCUGCUGAGAGGAGGUCUGCUGAAGCUCGCAGGGAUCUCAUAUUGUAAGAAG
ensembl:lncRNA